CUUUUUCUCAAACCCUAAACUCUUAUUUGUGCAACCAGAUCUUAAGCUUCCACUUAUCUCCCUAUUCAACUGUGUGGUAUAAUCAGAUAACUUCAUCGGUGCCUGCUUUGUAUGACUUCUUUCUCUCCUUCACUUUCUUGUUAGAAAAUUAAAAAGGUACUAAAAUGGACUAAAAUUGAUAGUUUAAGUUUGAGGAAGCGGUUCUGAUCUUGGAGCGGUCCAUCGAGGUGCCAGUUCUUGGAAAUGAGUUAGAUCAUGCACCGGCGAAGCUUUUUGGGUGUAUGCAUUUA